rnacentral:rRNA from 1 species
AACGAACGCUGGCGGCAGGCUUAACACAUGCAAGUCGAGCGCGUAGCAAUACGAGCGGCAGACGGGUGAGUAACGCGUGGGAAUCUACCGAGCCCUAAGGAAUAGCUCCGGGAAACUGGAAUUAAUACCUUAUACGCCCUUUGGGGGAAAGAUUUAUCGGGGUUUGAUGAGCCCGCGUUGGAUUAGCUAGUUGGUGGGGUAAAGGCCUACCAAGGCGACGAUCCAUAGCUGGUCUGAGAGGAUGAUCAGCCACAUUGGGACUGAGACACGGCCCAAACUCCUACGGAAGGCAGCAGUGGGGAAUAUUGGACAAUGGGCGCAAGCCUGAUCCAGCCAUGCCGCGUGAGUGAUGAAGGCCCUAGGGUUGUAAAGCUCUUCCACCGGUGAAGAUAAUGACGGUAACCGGAGAAGAAGCCCCGGCUAACUUCGUGCCAGCAGCCGCAGUAA